UAGACUUUACUUCUUUUUCACCUAUGGAACUUCGAGAAUACUUGUAAGAAUCAGACUUUACUUCUUUUUCACCUAUGGAACUUCAUCAUGACCCACUUUAACAGGCAGGAGUCUUACAAUAUUUUCAAGGAAUUUGACAAGGGAAGAGGACCAGUGCUGACCAGUGAAGAAAAAGAAGAGUCUAUUGCCAAGCUUUGUACAGCAGCCAAUAUCUGAUUAAGGAGUGGAAGAUGAGACUGAUCUUAAUCAGUUAACAAGAAUGUGGAAAGUAAGGACUUACUACUGUCUAACCUAAACAUUGAUGGUUAGUCAGAUCAGAUGCAUGUAAAGCUCUAGACCUUGCAUUAUGUGAAUUA